rnacentral:SRP_RNA from 1 species
GCCAGGUGUGGUGGCGCACACCUGUAAUCCCAGCUACUUGGGAGGCUGAGGCAGGAGGAUCACUUGAACCUGGGAGGCAGAGGUUGCAGUGAGCUGAGACUGUGCCAGUGCACCCCAGCCUGGGUGACAGAGUGAGAUGCUGUCUCAA